UUUUCAAUUUCAGAAUAUCUACAUACGUAAAUAUAGAGCUGUCUUUCCGUUUUCACGACAUUAAUUUAUUCUGGAUUCAUUACAUAUAUUUGAUUGACAGAGAGAAGAAGCGGCAUCAGGAUUAACAUAAGAAAAUCACUGCAUUAAUUAUAAAGUGUGUUUUAUUUUAUAUAUUAUUUUAUAUAUCAUGGUUCGAGAAAAAUAUUUCAUUUUAAUAUUUUUCAGAAUGAUGCAAUUUAAUCCCUUGAAUGUUAUAAUGUUACUCUAUACAACUUUCAUUGCUCUUAACUUUCCACAAAGUCCGAUAACUCCAAAAGAAGUAGAAGUGAAGGAGAAGAUUGAAUAUUUGUUAAAAGAAAUAGAAAAUGAGGAAUUUGAAAUAUAAGAGGAAGAAACUUUAGAUUUUUACAAUACAUAUGAAGUUCCAGAAGCGGAAAAUAUUGAUUUAUUAGAGAAAAAUGAAAGAAAAGAAUAUCUCCCGGAAGAAGUUAUUUGUAGCUCCGUUGAAGCAGGAAUAUCAAAUGAUUAUAAAAGGCAAGCUGUGAAAUACUGGAAGAGCGGUAAAACAGGAGCAAGAUCGCUUGAAGGAGUUAAAAGAAGAUACAGAAAAGUAACAUCGAUGCGACAAUUACGACGAUGGAAGGACCAAAUCAGUGCAGGUAGCAGCAAAGAUGAAAAAUUAAAAAGAAUUUCUGAAUAUAUAACAAACCGUUUUAAUGAAGCGCUUGAAAAUAGGAUAAUUAUUCAUGACAUUGACAUUGCUCGAUGGGCUUCUCGAGCACAAGAAGAGAAAAAUGUGGUAGGAUUCAAAGCUUCCGAAACGUGGGUAAAAAGAUUCAAAACUUCAUAUGAUAUCGUCUCUCGAAAAAUAACAAAAUUUGUAACAAAAAAAUCAUUGUUAUCGAAAACAGAUUUAGAAGAUAAGUGUAAUACAUUUAUUGAAAAUGUAAAAUAUUAUAUUGAACGAUACGGCGUAGACAAUGUUUAUAAUUCGGAUCAGAGUGGAUUCCAACUUGAAUUUCACUCUGGUCGUACUUUAUCCCAAAAAGGUCUAAAAAAUAUAGAAGCUGUAAUACAAUCUACAUCAGCAACCAUACACAGUUAUACUAUACAGCCGACUAUUUCUGCAGAUGGUAAAAAAUCUAAGGUAUCCUGAAAGUAUAACGUUUGUGAACGCACCCAAAAUCGGGACUACUGAUAGGAUCCACUAGAUGCUUCGAAGCGCCGGAUAAAGACCACUCUUUGUACGCAGAAUACGCACAGAUUCGACGGCUGGAUAAAAAAGAGCGUGAAACGUAGGAAGAAUAACAGCAGUAAGUUUUACGUAAUUCACAUUAUCUUUGUAGUGUUCUUAUAUAGUAUUCCUGCAACGGCUACGUAGCGUCAGAUAUACGAGAUUUUGGAGCAUUUCGUCCAUAGACCUUAUAUAUAUGGACUGGUCAUACAUAGCAGAUCGUGUCCGGAGGAGGUUAGACAGAGAAACGUACUUUUCGGGACUUCUCUGUCUUUUCAUCUCCGGAAAUAUGUUUUGUGCAUGCGUGGAUUAAAUAAACUAUUCUGAUUGGUUGUACGCAACAUGAUAUAGUUUCUGCAAACAUGGCGAUGUAGGUAUCUGUGUUGUGCCAGAUAUUGGAUAGCGCUUGAUGGGAUAAAUGAUCUGAUCUUUUAAAAAGAUCUUAAAAAGAAGAAAACUUCACCAUGGUUGAAACAUGUGUCCUUUGCGGUGUGAAGUAUUGUACGAAAAAUAGUGUUUCUUUUCAUUCUUUCCCAACAAAUGAAAAAUAUAAAAAGUUAUGGAUGGAAGCGUACAAUUUAAGUACAAUAAAGAAAAAAAGUAAGAUUUGUUCACGUCACUUCAGUUCUUUACAAUUUAAAGCAUGGAAUGAAGGACGUAGAUUAUUGAAGAACGAUGCAGUUCCAUUAUUAUUUUUUGGAGAAAAUA